rnacentral:rRNA from 1 species
UGGGUAACCUGCCUCAAAGAGGGGAAUAGCCUCCCGAAAGGGAGAUUAAUACCGCAUAAUAUGUUUAGGUCGCAUGACUUUAACAUCAAAGGAUUUUCUUUUAGAAAUUCCACUUUGAGAUGGACCCGCGGCGCAUUAGCUAGUUGGUGAGGUAACGGCUCACCAAGGCAACGAUGCGUAGCCGACCUGAGAGGGUGAUCGGCCACAUUGGAACUGAGACACGGUCCAGACUCCGUAGG